GGAGAGAUGCGAGAGCGGUCGAAUCGGGCGGUCCCGAAAACCGUUGCGCCGCAAGGUGCCGGGGGUUCGAAUCCCCCUCUCUCCG
rnacentral:tRNA from 1 species